AGUCACAUCACAGUAUUUGAAGGAUAUUGGGAAAGACAACGGUAACACUCAAAUUUGAAUUUUUCAAAACCAAGUACAGUAAAUCAAUGAUAACCCUGAUGUAUAGAAGUUGAUGCAACGACUUUGUCUAAUUGAUGACAGAUAGCAGCACAAUGUUGUUUCGUUUCUAUGAGAACCCACACAAUCUGCCCUCUGGUGAGAGACUAGAAACUAUACCUUCAAAAUGGAGUCAGUAGCUGACAGGACCGUGGUCUUUCUUCAAUUUUAAGUGAAUUGUGUGGUGAUUCCGACAGUUUUAUUGCCGACAUUAAUGAUUCAGAUUCCAGUUCAAACCAGGAGAUGGAAGAGUCUACGAAUAUUAAUUCCAGUAUAUAUGAGAUGUCCUGGUCCUGGAGGUGGAAGGAUCUGCUCACAGUGGAGGCAGCUCCUGUCAGUAAACUUUACCAAAUUGUGGGUACAGCUCCAGCAGGUAUCCUCAUGAAACCAACCUCAGAAAUUGAGAGGAAGAAACAGGAAACUGAUUCUAGACAUCCCUUCUGUGGCCACGAGCAUCGGCGACCAGGACCCAGAAUUGUGAAAGCACUUCAUGCAGACAACUACAGCAAUGCCUUCAUUUCUCGGUGCUUGCCUAGCGGAACUUUGACAAGAUCCUUCGCCCAAAGCACACGAAACAAAUGUCAAAGGAGAACCAGUGGCAGGUUCAGACCUACCUUAUGUGAUAAGAAAUAAUGCUAAACAGAUUGCUAACCGGGGUUUCACAAUGCAAAGUCAACUUCACAAAAUAGUGCUUCAGCAGUGAUGAUGAAAUUUGCCAUUGUGGGGUAGGACUGUGUUCCAACUUGUGGUAUUCCAAUGCCAGAAGAACGCAUUGUUCAAAUGAAUACAUGAUUUCUGAUCCUUCCGUCAGUAUGCUAACUUACUUCCAGUGCCGCCAGUUAGCAGCUUUUUGGAGUAUUUCGAAACUUCUGUAUAAUGGCUGUAUAAAACUCUUACAGCUUUCCCAAUGAACAUAUCAUUUGUUGCUCAUGUCUGUCGAUCUUAGUUUUCAAGAUAUUUAAUUUUAAAAUCAGCGACUCUUCUGCUGAACACACUGUAAGAAAAGAACUUUCUGGGAGUGUUCUCAAUAGCAGGAGAUGUUUUGAUGGACUAUAAACGCCUAACUACAGGGUGUUUCAAAAAUGACCAGUAUAUUUGAAUCGGCAAUAAAAACUAAACGAGCGGCGAUAGAAAUACACCGUUUGUUGCAAUAUGCUUGGGACAACAGUACAUUUUGAGGCGGACAAACUUUCGAAAUUACAGUAGUUACAAUUUUCAACAACAGAUGGCGCUGCAAGUGAUGUGAAAGAUAUAGAAGACAACGCAGUCUGUGGGUGCGCCAUUCUGUACGUCGUCUUUCUGCUGUAAGCGUGUGCUGUUCACAACGUGCAAGUGUGCUGUGGACAACAUGGUUUAUUCCUUAGAACAGAGGAUUUUUCUGGUGUUGGAAUUCCACCGCCUAGAACACAGUGUUGUUGCAACAAGAUGAAGUUUUCAACGGAGGUUUAAUGUAACCAAAGGACCGAAAAGCGAUACAAUAAAGUGUCUGUUUGAAAAAUUUCAACAGACUGGGAACAUGACGGAUGAACAUGCUGGAAAAGUAGGGCGACCGCGUACGGCAACCACAGAGGGCAACGCGCAGCUAGUGCAGCAGGUGAUCCAACAGGGGCCUCGGGUUUCCGUUUGCCGUGUUGCAGCUGCGGUCCAAAUGACGCCAACGUCCACGUAUCGUCUCAUGCGCCAGAGUUUACACCUCUAUCCAUACAAAAUUCAAACGCGGCAACCCCUCAGUGUCGCUACCAUUGCUGCACGAGAGACAUUCGCUAACAAUAUAGUGCACAGGAUUGAUGACUGCAAUAUGCAUGUGGGCAGCAUUUGGUUUACUGACGAAGCUUAUUUUUACCUGGACGGCUUCAUCAAUAAACAGAACUGGCGCAUAUGGGGAACCGAAAAGCCCCAUGUUGCAGUCCCAUCGUCCCUGCAUCCUCAAAAAGUACUGGUCUGAGCCGCCGUUUCUUCCAAAGGAAUCAUUUGCCCAUUUUUCAGAUCUGAAACGAUUACUGCAUCACGCUAUCUGGACAUUCUUCGUGAAUUUGUGGCGGUACAAACUGCCUUAGACGACACUGCGAACACCUCGUGGUUUAUGCAAGAUGGUGCCCGGCCACAUUGCACGGCCGAUGUCUAAUUUUCUGAAUGAAUAUUUCGAUGAUCGUGUGAUUGCUUUGGGCUAUCCGAAACAUACAGGAGGCGGUGUGGAUUGGCCUCCCUAUUCGCCAGACAUGAACCCCUGUGACUUCUUUCUGUGGGGACACUUGAAAGACCAGGUGUACCGCCAGAAUCCAGAAACAAUUGAACAGCUGAAGCAGUACAUCUCGUCUGCAUGUGAAGCCAUUCCGCCAGACACGUUGUCAAAGGUUUCGGGUAAUUUCAUUCAGAGACUACGCCAUAUUAUUGCUACGCAUGGUGGAUAUGUGGAAAAUAUCGUACUAUAGAGUUUCCCAGACCGCAGCGCCAUCUGUUGUUGACAGUUGUAACUACUGUAAUUUCGAAAGUUUGUCUGCCUGAAAAUGUACUGUUGUCCCAAGCAUAUUGCAACAAACAGUGUAUUUCUAUCUCUGCUCGUUUAGUUUGUAUUGCCGUUUUAAAUAUACCGGUCAUUUUUGAAAGACCCUGUAGCAGUGAUUAGAUGGAACAAGCAUGUCUUUCAUCAAGCAAAAGUAGCAGAUAACCUGGAAUGGGAAUCUGGAGGGAAGGAGAAAAAUGGGAAUCUGGAGGGAAGGAGAAGUAAGAGGUCAGUACUUGAAGACUGUGGCGCCUAUGAAAUCAGGUAUGUAUUUUUUUAUGUUGCUAAAGAGAGCACAGUGAUAUGACAUCAUGCAGUCAUUCCAUUCAUAUCCCUAGAAAUAGUUACACCCAGAUAUUUGUAUGAGUCAACUUAUUCCAGUUCUAAAUCUUUGAUAUAGUAGUCUUAUGCUACAGCAUUCCUGUAUUUUGGGAAUGAAUGUAUAGUUUUACUAUUCUGAACAUUUAAAAGUAGUUGAGUCAUUGGACCACUUUGAAAUCUUAUCGAGAACUGACUGGACAUUUGUGCAGCUUUCUUCAGACCGUACUUCAUCAGAGGUAACAGCAUCAUGUGCAAAAACUCUGAGGUUACUAAUAAUAUUGUGUAUCAGGUAAUAAAUAUAUAGCAAGAAAAGCAAGGGUCCCAACACUUUUCCUUGCAUACACCUAAGUUACUUCUACAUCCAAAAUAACAGACUGUGUUCUUCUUGCUGAGAAAUCGUCAAUUCAGUCUUGGUUUUUUUCCUGAUAUCACUUAUCAUAUUUUUGUUAAGAAAUGUUGGUGUAGUAUCAAUUUUACAAGAAACCUGUUUCUUUCUAGAUAUCCUGAUCCUGGAAGUGGAAGGAUCUGCUCACAGUGGUGGCAGCUCCUAUCAGUAAACUUUACCAAAUUGUGGGUACAGCUCCAACAUGUAUCCUCAGGAAACCAACUUCAGAAAUUGAUAGGAAGAAACAGAAAACUGAUUCCAGACAUCCCUUAUUUGACCACGAGCAUCGGCGACCAGGACCCAGCAUUGUGAAAGCACUUCAUGCAGACAACUACAGCAAUGCCUUCAUUUCUCGGUGCUUGCCUAGCGGAACUUUGACAAGAUCCUUCGCCCAAAGCACACGAAACAAAUGUCAAAGGAGAACCAGUGGCAGGUUCAGACCUACCUUAUGUGAUAAGAAAUAAUGCUAAACAGAUUGCUAACCGGGGUUUCACAAUGCAAAGUCAACUUCACAAAAUAGUGCUUCAGCAGUGAUGAUGCAAUUUGCCAUUAUGGUGGCCUGCAGGAGCAUCAACAUCUAUUCGUCUGUUAACAGGAACCUGCUGGGCACACUACUACGAGUGAUCUUGCUGCAGCUAAGAAAGCAGCCAAAAUUGGCAAAUAGUGGGUUCUCCACAGAAUUUGAAGAGAAUUAGCUUGCUGUUUUUUUAAAAAUCUUCCUGUCUGUAUUUUAUCAGUUCUUGUUGUACAUAUUUUUCCCUGUAUUUUUACUGUUAUUAAUUUCUAUCUGUAUGUUACUGAAUUUCCUCUGUAACUGAUUUUUUUAUAUGUAUUCAAUCUCAAUAUGUAUGUUAUUAAUGCUCUGUCAGUAUUGUAAUAAUUCAAUGUUCUGGACAUGUAAAAUAUAGUAAAUAAAUUUCGAGAUUUAAAAUAGA